AUUGAACGCUGCGGCAGGCUUAACACAUGCAAGUCGAGCGAGCGGCGGACGGGUGAGUAAUGCUUAGGAAUCUGCCUAUUAGUGGGGGACAACAUCUCGAAAGGGACGCUAAUACCGCAUACUAAUAGAUGAGCCUAAGUCGGAUUAGCUAGUUGGUGGGGUAAAGGCCUACCAAGGCGACGAUCUGUAGCGGGUCUGGGAGGAUGAUCCAACACACUGGGACUGGGGAAAGGCUCAAAAUCCCACGGGGAGCCGCAGUGGGGGAUAAUUGGCAAAGGGGGGAAACCCUGUCCAACCCUUCCGGCGGUGUGAAGAAAGCCCUUUGGUUGUAAAAGAACUUAAGCGAGGGAGCGUUACUCGCAGAAUAAGCACCGGCUAACUCCGUGCCAGCAGCCGCGGUAAUAC
rnacentral:rRNA from 1 species